rnacentral:lncRNA from 1 species
AUGCAGAAAGCGAAGCCUUCUCAAGGAUCCUCCCCAGGUCCCACCGAGGGAUGGGUUCAAAGACUCUCCUGUCCCUCCAGUGCUGGCUUCGGGCCCGGGCCCGUCUCUCUCCGCCCGGCGGCUCCUCAAGGCAGGAGCUCCGGGAGCUGCGCCCUAAGUGGCUGUCGCAGGCUCCGAAAGCCACCGCUCGCCCUUGGGCCGCGGCCGGACCCUCCUUCCCCACCUGGACCACCGCCCCGCCCAGGACCGCGCCUGCUCCCCGCGACUUCGCCCCCGGGGAGAGCAGAGGUCGCGAGCAAGCGGAAAAGGGCGACCUUUGAAUGCCAGCACUGCUCGCUCGCCCCAAAGAAGCGUGGGAAACGAACGACGCUCCAGCCCGUAGGGCUCCCGGGGCCCCCGCCCUCUCCGCGCGCCCCCGGGGCCCCCGCCCCCCUGCCCCUCUUCCCCCGCCGCGCGCCCCCGCGUCCCCUCUCCGGGCGCCAGCUCUCCGGACCCGCGCGGCGCCGCACACUCACCGCGAGCGCUGCCCGCCGCAGUCCGGAGCGGGAAGGCGGCUCGCGGGCCGGGCCGGGCCGGGCCGGGCCGGGCAGGGGCUGCGGCUGCUCCGGGGCCGCGGAGCUGGCUGCGCGCUGCGGGACCGGGUGCCGUGCCCGGGCAGACGCCCCGGGCUCUCCACCAGCCCUAAUCGUCCUCUCUCCCUGCCCACCUCUCAUCCUUCCUUCCACACCCCUUUCUCACCUUGCUUUUCUCACUUUGCCCCCCCUCCUUCUUCUGUCCGCCGUCUCCUCCCUCCCCUCCACUGAUGCGUGGAGACGGGUGGGGAGGGAAAAAGUCCCGUCUCUUUAACUUGAGUGAUACCUUGGAGAUUAUCUGUUCAUGGAAUCUGGAAAUGACGUGGACAACCUUUCGGAAAGCAUCUAAAGUAAAACGACUUUAGUCUCCUUUUCCUUUUCAUCUUUGCGUGUUCUGAGUGGCUCUUUUUAUCCGGUUGGGUGGCUGGGAAUGAGGUGAGGUCAGACCAGGGAGUGAAGGGGCAGAGGCAGCCGUGUUCCGAAGGGGGACUGAGAACCAGCCCUUGAGUGGGCCCGAGAUCCGUUUACCCAGAGUUUCACCAAGCAGGCGUGUCCUGAGGAAGAGGUGAGGUUGCGGUGAGAGAAGAGCGAGAGGCAGUGUUGUGGAUCCAGGCUUUAUUCAGAUCUUUAUUCUAAGGCAUCCAUAGCGGUUUGCUCUUGAGAUGCCUUAGAAUACAUAUCUAGUGUUUUGACCUGGCUUUGGCCUUGAGAAAAUACUUGGCCUUUCCUGUUUCUGGCCUCAAAUCUUUUUUCCAGAUUAACGUUUCAUGGCCCAGAAGACAGAGAUCCUUCAGCUGUAGUUUACCAGGAACUCCCCAAACCGGGGCUUUGACUGACCCUAGAAACUUGAGUGCUUCUUGGAAGGUGGCAGUGUUCCAGCAGGUCUCCAAAGCUGGGAAGGGCAGGACAAAGUUUGUGUGCAGAGCACCACCCCCACAGCCCACGGGGGUUGACCCUCCCAGGGCUGUUUCACCCUGGACCCAACUGUUGUAGAUUCUUUUUCGCAGAAGGGAACUCUUGUCGCUGAAGAUGCUUUCCGCCCUCCCACCUCCCAGGACUUUCUGUCAUCCAGAGAUGAUCUGAUAUAAAUCUUUCUGAUGCACUAAAUCUGUAUUUUCCAGCCCAUCUUUCUUUUGUUGGUGAGACCAACCUUGUUCUCUAGCAUCAUAUAUUUAAAUGAGAUACUGUGUAUGAAACACUAAACAUAAUGCUUGGCACUUAGUCCUCAAGAAAUAUUAGCUGAAUUAUUAUGGGUAAUGACUUCAGAUUAUCGU